AAAAAUAGAAAAUCAGUAAAAUAAAAUGUGAAAAAAUAAAAAUUAGAUGAAAAAAAAUAAAAGAGAAUUUUAGAAAUUAUUUUUGGAUUUUUUGGAUGAAAAAUGAAAUUACUAUGAAUUUUAAAAGAAAAAGAAAUUAAAAAUUAAAAAAAGAAAAAGAAUUAAAAUCAGAAAAAAUACGGAGCGUUGGAUCUGACUUCAUUAAUUG
rnacentral:lncRNA from 1 species